UUGGUGAGAGAAAGCUAAUAUAGUCUAAAUAAGUAUUAUGUAAUAAAUAUGUAAGAAAAUAGGAUAACAAAUUCUAAGACUAAAUACUAUUAAUAAGUAUAAAAAGUACCGUAAGGGAAAGUAUAAAAAUGAUUAUUUUAUAAGCAAUCAUAAAUAUAUUAAUUAUAUUAAUGAUGUACCUUUUGUAUAAUGGGUCAGCAAGUAAUUAAUAUUAGUAAAACUAAUAAGUUAUAAAUAAAUAGAUAAAAAUAAUAUAUAUAUAAAAAUAUAUAAAUAAUACAUAUAUUUUAAAAAUAAUAUGUAAUAUUUAAUUAAUAUUAAUUGACCCGAAAGCAAACGAUCUAACUAUGAUAAGAUGGGUAAACGAUCGAACAGGUUGAUGUUGCAAUAUCAUCUGAUUAAUUGUGGUUAGUAGUGAAAGACAAAUCUGGUUUGCAGAUAGCUGGUUUUCUAUGAAAUAUAUGUAAGUAUAGCCUUUAUAAAUAAUAAUUAUUAUAUAAUAUAUUCUAUAAUAUAUUAUAUAAAGAACGGUACAGCAAUUAAUAUAUAUUGGGGAACUAUUAAAGUUUUAUUAAUAAUAUUAAAUCUCGAAAUGUUUAAUUAUAAAUAAUAAAGAGUCAGAUUAUGUGCGAUAAGGUAAAUAAUCUAAAGGGAAACAGCCCAGAUUAAGAUAUAAAGUUCCUAAUAAAUAAUAAGUGAAAUAAAUAUUAAAAUAUUAUAAUAUAAUCAGUUAAUGGG
rnacentral:rRNA from 1 species